rnacentral:tRNA from 1 species
AUUGAAGUGCCUGAAUCUAAAGGAUUGUUUUGAUAGGACAAAUUAUGUACAAAUACCUUCAAUA